UACGAAGGGGGGCUAGCGUUGUUCGGAAUUACUGGGCGUAAAGCGCACGUAGGCGGCUUUGUAAGUUAGAGGUGAAAGCCCGGGGCUCAACUCCGGAACUGCCUUUAAGACUGCAUCGCUUGAAUCCAGGAGAGGUGAGUGGAAUUCCGAGUGUAGAGGUGAAAUUCGUAGAUAUUCGGAGGAACACCAGUGGCGAAGGCGGCUCACUGGCUCGACACUGACGCUGAGGUGCGAAAGCGUGGGGGAGCAAACAGG
rnacentral:rRNA from 1 species